UACAGGGGGUGCAAACGUUGCUCGGAAUUAUUGGGCGUAAAGAGCUCGUAGGCGGUUUGUUGCGUCGGCUGUGAAAUCCCGAGGCUCAACCUCGGGUCUGCAGUCGAUAUGAGCAAACUAGAGUGUUGCAGGGGAGACUGGAAUUCCUGGUGUAGCGGUGAAAUGCGCAGAUAUCAGGAGGAACACCGGUGGCGAAGGCGGGUCUCUGGGCAACAACUGACGCUGAGGAGCGAAAGCGUGGGGGAGCGAACAGG
rnacentral:rRNA from 1 species